GUAGGGAAUAUUGGGCAAUGGGCGAAAGCCUGACCCAGCCAUGCCGCGUGCAGGAUGAAGGCCUUCUGGGUUGUAAACUGCUUUUCUACGGGAAGAAACAGUCACUGCGGUGACAAUUGACGGUACUGUAGGAAUAAGCACCGGCUAACUCCGUGCCAGCAGCCGCGGUAAUACGGAGGGUGCAAGCGUUGUCCGGAUUUACUGGGUUUAAAGGGUGCGUAGGUGGAUUGUUAAGUCAGUGGUGAAAGCCUGCGGCUCAACCGCAGAAGUGCCAUUGAUACUGGCAAUCUUGAGUACAGUAGAGGUAGGCGGAAUUUAUGGUGUAGCGGUGAAAUGCUUAGAUACCAUAAAGAACACCAAUAGCGAAGGCAGCUUACUAUACUGUUACUGACGCUGAGGCACGAAAGCGUGGGGAUCAAACAGGAUUAGAAACCCUAGUAGUCC
rnacentral:rRNA from 1 species